GCGGUGGUGGUUCAACGGCAGAAUCCGAGUGUGCCAUACUCGGGAUGGGAGUUCGACUCUCCCUCACCGCG
rnacentral:tRNA from 3 species